AUGAACGCUAGCUACAGGCUUAACACAUGCAAGUCGAGGGGCAGCAUUUUAGUUUGCUUGCAAACUAAAGAUGGCGACCGGCGCACGGGUGAGUAACACGUAUCCAACCUGCCGAUAACUCGGGGAUAGCCUUUCGAAAGAAAGAUUAAUAUCCGAUAGUAUAUUAAAACCGCAUGGUUUUACUAUUAAAGAAUUUCGGUUAUCGAUGGGGAUGCGUUCCAUUAGUUUGUUGGCGGGGUAACGGCCCACCAAGACUACGAUGGAUAGGGGUUCUGAGAGGAAGGUCCCCCACAUUGGAACUGAGACACGGUCCAAACUCCUACGGGAGGCAGCAGUAAGGAAUAUUGGUCAAUGGACGAGAGUCUGAACCAGCCAAGUAGCGUGAAGGAUGACUGCCCUAUGGGUUGUAAACUUCUUUUAUAUGGGAAUAAAGUAUUCCACGUGUGGAAUUUUGUAUGUACCAUAUGAAUAAGGAUCGGCUAACUCCGUGCCAGCAGCCGCGGUAAUACGGAGGAUCCGAGCGUUAUCCGGAUUUAUUGGGUUUAAAGGGAGCGUAGGUGGAUUGUUAAGUCAGUUGUGAAAGUUUGCGGCUCAACCGUAAAAUUGCAGUUGAAACUGGCAGUCUUGAGUACAGUAGAGGUGGGCGGAAUUCGUGGUGUAGCGGUGAAAUGCUUAGAUAUCACGAAGAACUCCGAUUGCGAAGGCAGCUCACUAGACUGCAACUGACACUGAUGCUCGAAAGUGUGGGUAUCAAACAGGAUUAGAUACCCUGGUAGUCCACACAGUAAACGAUGAAUACUCGCUGUUUGCGAUAUACAGUAAGCGGCCAAGCGAAAGCAUUAAGUAUUCCACCUGGGGAGUACGCCGGCAACGGUGAAACUCAAAGGAAUUGACGGGGGCCCGCACAAGCGGAGGAACAUGUGGUUUAAUUCGAUGAUACGCGAGGAACCUUACCCGGGCUUAAAUUGCAUUUGAAUAAUCUGGAAACAGGUUAGCCGCAAGGCAAAUGUGAAGGUGCUGCAUGGUUGUCGUCAGCUCGUGCCGUGAGGUGUCGGCUUAAGUGCCAUAACGAGCGCAACCCUUAUCUUUAGUUACUAACAGGUCAUGCUGAGGACUCUAGAGAGACUGCCGUCGUAAGAUGUGAGGAAGGUGGGGAUGACGUCAAAUCAGCACGGCCCUUACGUCCGGGGCUACACACGUGUUACAAUGGGGGGUACAGAAGGCAGCUACCUGGCGACAGGAUGCUAAUCCCAAAAACCUCUCUCAGUUCGGAUCGAAGUCUGCAACCCGACUUCGUGAAGCUGGAUUCGCUAGUAAUCGCGCAUCAGCCAUGGCGCGGUGAAUACGUUCCCGGGCCUUGUACACACCGCCCGUCAAGCCAUGAAAGCCGGGGGUACCUGAAGUACGUAACCGCAAGGAGCGUCCUAGGGUAAAACUGGUAAUUGGGGCU
rnacentral:rRNA from 1 species